GACGAACGCUGGCGGCGUGCUUAACACAUGCAAGUCGAACGGUGAAGCGCCUUCCUUUUUGGUGGGUGUGGAUGAGUGGCGAACGGGUGAGUAACACGUGAGUAACCUGCCCCCUUCUUCUGGAUAACCGCAUGAAAGUGUGGCUAAUACGGGAUAUUCUGGGUCUGUCGCAUGAUGGGUCUGGGACAGAUAUUGUUUCGGUGGGGGAUGGGCUCGCGGCCUAUCAGCUUGUUGGUGGGGUGAUGGCCUACCAAGGCGGUGACGGGUAGCCGGCCUGAGAGGGUGGACGGUCACACUGGGACUGAGACACGGCCCAGACUCCUACGGGAGGCAGCAGUGGGGAAUAUUGCACAAUGGGCGCAAGCCUGAUGCAGCGACGCCGCGUGAGGGAUGGAGGCCUUCGGGUUGUGAACCUCUUUCGCCAGUGAAGCAGGCCUGCCUCGUUUGUGGGUGGGUUGACGGUAGCUGGAUAAGAAGCGCCGGCUAACUACGUG
rnacentral:rRNA from 1 species